AUUGAACGCUGGCGGCAGGCCUAACACAUGCAAGUCGAACGAGUGGCGGACGGGUGAGUAAUGUCUGGGAAAAUGCCUGAUGGAGGGGGAUAACUACUGGAAACGGUAGCUAAUACCGCAUACCAUCAGAUGUGCCCAGAUGGGAUUAGCUUGUUGGCGGGGUAACGGCCUACCAAGGCGACGAUCACUAGCUGGUCUGAGAGGAUGACCAGCCACAAUGGAACGGAGACACGGUCCAGACUCCUACGGGAGGCAGCAGGGGGGAAUAUUGCGCAAUGGGCGAAAGCCGGAUGCAGCCAUGCCGCGUGUAUGAAGAAGGUCUUCGGGUUGUAAAGUCCUUUCAGCGGGGAGGCGUUACCCGCCGAAGAAGCACCGGCUAACUCCGUGCCAGCCGCCGCGGUAAUUC
rnacentral:rRNA from 1 species